CCGAGUUUACAACUCCCAAACCCCUGUGAACAUACCAUUACCGUUGCUUCGGCGGACCACCCCGACCCCUACGGGGCGAAGGGCCCGCCAGAGGACACCUAAAAUUCAAAUGUAUUUUUGCCCUGAAAUUUUUAUUCUGAGUGGAAUUUUUUUAAAUAAAUCA
rnacentral:misc_RNA from 1 species